rnacentral:tRNA from 1 species
GAGCUGUUAGCUCAGCUGGUUUAGAGCACUACCUUGACAGGGUAGGGGUCACUGGUUCGAAUCCAGUACAGCUCA